rnacentral:rRNA from 1 species
GAUGAACGCUGGCGGCGUGCCUAAUACAUGCAAGUCGAGCGCUCAUUUGCGGAGCUUGCUCCUCUGACGUUAGCGACGGACGGGGGAGUAACACGUGGAAACCCUACCUUUAAGAAUGGAAUAACGUCGGGAAACCGGAGCUAAUACGGGAUAAUAUAUUGAAACGCAUUGUUCAAUAGUGCAAGAGGGUUAUGCUGUCACUUAUGGAUGGAUCACGGCCGGAUUCGCUGGUUGGUAAGUUAACGGCUAACCAAGGCAACGAUGAGUAGCCGACCGGAGGGGGUGAUCGGCCACACGGGAACUGAGACACGGCCCAGACUCCUACGGGAGGCAGCAGUAGGGAAUUUUCCGCAAUGGGCGAAAGCCUGACGGAGCAACGCGGCGGGAGUGAUGAAGUGCUUCGGAUCGUAAAACCCUGUUAUUGGGGAAGAACAAAUGGGUAAGUAACUAUGCACGUCUGGAGGGUACCUAAUCAGAAAGCAACGGCAAACUACGU